AAAACCAUUCCGAUUCCAUUUAAACAAAACCGCCAGUUCCCCACCCAAAAUUUCGAAGCUUCCUCACCUCUUUGCUUCCUCACCUUCUUGCCAGAAGCCUCACCCGACGAUCCUCACCCGACGCUCCGUGCCCCGACGUUCCUCCACGAUUACCUCCGGCUCUCCUUCCCCGAGCGCACGGGAAACUGUGAUCACUUUGAGAAUCAAUGGGCCCUUCUGGGAGGGAGGGAUCUGGAGAGGAGUCCGAACAGCGUCAUUUUAGCAGCUCAAGAACUGUCAUCAGAUGCACGGAACGUGGUUAUAACAGCAGGCUUUGAGCAGUUACUGUAUAUGUCCUUAGAGGGUUUUGGUAACAGAGAGAUAUUGAGGUUUCUUAUGAACAAUACACAUACAGAACAAACAUCUGAAGGUGUUGAGAUUAAGAUUGAAGGAUCUAAGUUACCCCCCAUCACGGAGAAUGUGGUGGCACAUGUUGUUGGUGUUCCUGAAGGUUCUGGUGAGAGCCUUGAAUUUGAGCAGGACACUAAGAAGCAAGGAGAAAUCAAGAAAGCUGUUCACAAUUUGUUGAAGCUCCCUGACAGUGUUGAUGAUUGUGAGCCCAUUGCAGAUGAAAAGAAAAGGGAUAGAAAACAUAAAACUAUUAUGAAUGGCAAGAUUGGCGUUGAUUAUUUACGUGAUGUGAUGGAAGAAGCCAAGGAGACCAAAGAUGUUGAGCUGGAAGUUAAGUGCUUCUUCUUCAUCGCAUUCCAUACACUGCUGCUCCCAGAAAAGGAUGGUUAUCUCACUCUACACCAGAUGCAAGCGGGUAUGAACCUUGCAAGGAUACAAAGAAUUAAUUGGCGCAAGGUUCUUCUCAACCAUUUAAAAGAUGGUGUUAAAUCAUGGUGGAAAUCGCAAGCCAAAUCAACCAAGCCUGGUGGUGUCGCGUCUGUAUACAUAAGUGGUCCUGUGACUGUGCUUCUUUUAUAUUACUUGGACUUCCUAAAGUCAAAAUCCGAAAGCGAUGUCUCUCAGACGCCAAGAAUUUGUUACUACGGCGAAUCUAUGGUGACCGAUUUGGUGCAGGAAACUAUGCAAAAGGAUGGCAAGAGGUUUGACAACCUCAAGUUUCGCACAACCGAAGAGACCUGUUAUUCAAGAAGCUAUAAUGAAUGUGAGAAGGUGAAGGUGCAGAAAGUGUCUGGAAAGCAGAAAAAAAAUAAGCGCACUCGUCUUGGCAAAAACAAAGGCGAAAAAGGGGAUAAAGAAGAAAAGGGCACGCAUGUCAACCCCGCGGUAAGAAGAAAGGAAGUUGUGAAAAGAUAUGGUGAGAGAGCUGAGAAAGACAGUGGUGCCAAGAACGACAUGGUUGCGCACAUUCCUGCAUUAGAGGAUUUUGUUAAAUCUUCUAUAGAGCACAUGCCUCGUUAUCUGCACAGCGACGCUAUCAAGAUUGUAAAGCAAAAUCAUUCGUCGAUUGUAGAGAUGUAUGAGAAGAUCAUGAAGACUCAGUCACAGAUGCCCUCGAAAAUGGAAAGCUUGGUAGACAGAUAUAAAGAUUUGGAUGAGUUCUAUUCAAAACACAUUAUGUCAAAAGCCGAUUGGGAACAGAAACAUUUCGGCAAUAAGGCUGCGGUGGAUAUUAAUGGCAUUACCAUUUCAGAACAUGAUUUUGUAAAAAGCAUGAAACUGAAUGGAUGGAUAAGUAACUUCAUUGUGGACGUGCAAUGCUCCAUAUGGAGGGAGGAGGAAGAAUGGAAAGACAAAAUAAUCCUUAGUCAAUCUGCUGUGAAUGAACUGUUGGGUUUAACCCAAAUCAGAGGCUAUGUGGAAAAGGAGUUGUCUAACCUAGCCAAAAAGAAGCAGAUAUUUGUCCCUAUCCUCGUUCGAGCUUUGGAUGGUUCUGGUUUACAUUGGUACUUGCUCGUGGUGGACAUUGAGAAUGGAAUAAGGUAUAUACUGGAUUCCCUUCCAUCACGGGGCACUAGAAGUGCGACGGAAACUGUGAAAUUAUCAUAUGAUUCUGUUGUCAAGUUUUCCUAUGCUGGGUUAUCCUUCACUUAUAACCGAUGCUGUCAGUUCCCUUGCAUUAAAUGGUCAAUGAUCGAAAUUCUUAACUAUGCAAAUGAUUAUUGCAUAUCCGAUUGUGGAUUCUAUAUGCUGCUGUAUAUGGAACGAUUUGGUAGAAUGAAAAUAGAUGACAUCAAUGAGAAUGAUGUAUUAAUGUAUCGCAAAAAACUUGUGAAGGACAUAUAUGAGAAUCCUAACAACAAUCCUAAGGAUGUAAGUGACGAGGUCAUAGCUCAAGAUGAAUAUCACAUUUUGGACGACACCAUAUGUUUGUCACCACCCCCUUCAGAUUUGCGAAAUUCCCCUCCACGCCCAAAUCUGACAGUAUCCCCCAUGAGUCAUGAAGAUGGGCGUAAUGAUGGCCCUCUGCCACCAUCCUCACCAGGGACAAGCGAUGGUAACAAGAAUCUGGAAGAUGCCCAACCCCAAGAGGAGGCUGACAGAUCCAGUGUGGGAAUAGCAGAAAAUGCUGAGGCAGGCAACCAGGCGAAUCAUGCGAGGACAAGCGAUGGUAACCAGAAGGUGGACGAUGCCCAAGCUCAAGGGAAGGCCAACAGAUCCAGUGAGGGAAGUUCCCUGGAUACAAGAACAGACAAUGAACGCUCAAGGACAAGCGAUGAUGAGGCUGGAGGCAACAAGGUGGAUGAAGGUGAAAAAGGGGUGCCAUCAUCCCCACCACGCAGAGAACAAAAUCCAUCCCAUGCCCUCGAUAAAGACAUAGUUUAUUAUUCUAGAAAGAAGAAAGAGAAGAAAAGGAAAGAGAAGAGCAGGUCAAGCUUGGAUAAUGACUUAAUUCAACUGGGCAAGAGGUGCCGAAUUGCAACUACCAGGACUGCUAUAAAGACUACUAGACGCGAGUGGCCUGAUGAUGCGAUAGUUAAAGAGGUUUAUGAGCUUGCCACUGAUUGUAAGGAACAAGUAAUAUUGAAUUUCGGAGCUAUCGCAAUGACUGGUUCUGAAAUAGAACAGUCGUUCCAGAAAGUUGAGUGUGCCGGGGAUAUUAUCUCAUUAUUUAUUAAAUACCUGGAGAACAAUACGUAUCCUGAUGACAGCAGGAUCUUUGUCCCACCACUAUACAAGGGCAAAGGAGGUAUGAAGAAAAAGAUUAAAGAUGCACUCGGUGGAUCCAACGAAAAGAAAUCAGCAGUGGAGUUUCCUCAUCGAUUUAUAUACUGCCCUGUCUUAUUCUCUGGUGAAUGGAUUGUGGUCUGUUUCCAACUGAAGAAUAUGAAACAGAUCGGUAUUCUUUGCAACAACGGUGGCGACGAAAUUAAAAAUUUCGCUUUGGAUUUGGGAAAGAAAUUAAACAAAGUCUUAGGAGACUGCAACUACAAAACAGUGUCAUUUGAUGAAAAAUCUCUGUCAUUUUUUCCGUCUUGUGUACAGCCCAAUGACAGUGUGUUCGCAGCCAUGUAUUUUCUUGAACAUUUCAUAGGUGUGGCAGGAGUGCUCAACAAGCUGACUUGGGAUGAAAAGAUGCGGGAUCAAUACAUUAAAUCUUACAGUCGAGGGAUUUUGACAUGCCUUAUCCAGCACAAGGAAAACACUGCAGAUGUGCCUGAUGGAAUUUUAGCAUUGUUCGAAUAG
rnacentral:lncRNA from 1 species